rnacentral:rRNA from 1 species
UACGGAGGGAGCUAGCGUUAUUCGGAAUUACUGGGCGUAAAGCGCACGUAGGCGGACUACUAAGUCAGGGGUGAAAUCCCGGGGCUCAACCCCGGAACUGCCUUUGAUACUGGUAGUCUCGAGUCCGGAAGAGGUGAGUGGAAUUCCGAGUGUAGAGGUGAAAUUCGUAGAUAUUCGGAGGAACACCAGUGGCGAAGGCGGCUCACUGGUCCGGUACUGACGCUGAGGUGCGAAAGCGUGGGGAGCAAACAGG